GAUGGACGCUGGCGGCGUGCUUAACGCAUGCAAGUCGAACGGAAAGGCUCCUGCUUGCUGGGGUGCUCGAGUGGCGAACGGGUGAGUAACACGUGAGUGAUCUGCCCUGCACUUCGGGAUAAGCCUGGGAAACUGGGGCUAAUACCGGAUAGGACGAUGUGCUGCAUGGCGGGGUUUGAAGUUUUUCGGUGUGGGAUGAUGUCGCGGCCUCUCAGCUUGUUGGUGGGGUAAUGGCCUACCAAGGCGUCGACGGGUAGCCGGCCUGAGAGGGUGUACGGCCAAAUUGGGAAUGAGAUAAGGGCCCGGAUCCUACGGGAGGGAGGAGGGGGGAAUAAUGCAACAUGGGGGGAAGCCUGAUGCAGCGACGCCGGGUGGGGGAUGAAGGCCCUCGGGUUUUAAACUCGUUUCGCUAGGGAAGAAGCGGAAGUGACGGUAACUGGAGAAGAAGGCACGGCUAACUAAGUG
rnacentral:rRNA from 1 species